UUUGAGAUAUUUAUUUUUCAGGAGAAACUUUGGAUUUUAAGUCUGGCUGAGCCACUGGUCCAUGGUAUACUUCUGGGAGAGUCAUGUGAGCUGGAGGAGACCCAGACAGAAACUAGCCAGCUCCUCACUGAAAGGCUGGCGCUGCCCCUUAGCCGGGCUGCCCCGGACAAAGCACCAGAGAUCCUUUCUGCAGAAACAGCCUUGCGCCUCGUCCCACAAAUGCCCAGCGAGGAGCUGGGAGCAGAGCGCUGUUAUCUCCCAGGUCCGUCUUUGGUUAGCCGUGGGCAGCACAAAGAGCGACUUAAAAAAAUACAGUAAGCAGUGGCCCACCAGGCCCCAGAUCAUCGAGCGUUACCAGCAGCAUCUGUGACAGCACGAACUGGGGGUGUUACAGCCUCUGAGAAUUAGGCACAGAUAGGGGCACGUGACAUGCUUUCCCAGUGGGUUUUAUCGGCACAGACAAGGAUUUCCCCAUGCCCCAGCAGCCAGGUGAGCAGCUUGCACUGACUGCGCAGCACAGACCGUGCUCUGCGGAAGAAGACUCCUUUGGCUACUGUGUCCGGUGCACUGCUACGGAUGGAGGCAGCGAACACUAAGGUGCUGGGACAAACAGUGCCAGUCAUGGACUAGCAUCCACUAGGAUGGACUGGACGGUUCUUGUUAUGGACGGGUCUGAAGCACCCGGCGGCAUACUGCGAUCUGCAGCAGUGGGGCUGUGUUUCCAGCUACGCUGACCCAGGCUGGCAGGGCUGUCUGACGGAGAGCAGGGAUACAUGGGCAGGCAGACAGCAUAUUUCUUCUCUAACUUUCCAGAGGCUAAUCCUGUUCAGCUUCUACUGCCACAGCCCCGCGGCUCCAUCUGUAUUGUCAGCAGCCUGGGUAGACGGCCCCUCUCCUGAUACGUGAGCCUGGAGACACUGAAUUUGCACUCCCAUUCUAAGUGUUUUUUCACCGAGAUGGUGAGAAGUAUUUCCAAAAGGACUUAAGGGAUUUAGGAGCAGAAGCCCCGCUGAUCUCAGGGGUGUUUCUGAAAAUCUCUCCCUGCAUUUCUAGCACAAGAGUGCUUUUGGUGGUUUGCUGUUUUAUCACCGUGUUCCUUUUCUAGCAUAUGAAGCCGCUAUUAUAUUUUAGCAAACUGAAGUGGA